CUAGACUGACACAUCUGGGUCCUACAUUAGUGAAGGACAGACAGAGGUUUCGGAGGCUAGCUACCAGAGUCUGGUAUCUGCUCACAGACCUGCCGGUUUGGAUGUGAACAGCACACGGCUAGUUUUUCAUGGGAGACUGCUGACAUAGUAAGCCAGCUCUUCCGGUUUCAGCCCUCUUCAUUGCAAGGCACCAAAAUCCCAGCCCCAAGUGUCUGAAAUGAGGGCUGCUUUUGCUGAAGAAGUUCUUACGGGGCCAUUAGUUCAGGAGAAUAAAGGUAUCCCGCUAAGGAAUCUGAAGACCACUGGACAAUGA